UUAUUUAUAUUUUAUACAAAAAUAAUAUAUGUACACACACAUACAUAUAUAUGUAUAUAGUCAAUGGAGUUUAAUAAUUAAUGUGAACUCUUGAUGCCCUGUGACCCCAUAAUCACGUUUUGGAAACUUGAAAGAUUGGAAAAUCGGUCAUAUCACUUCCGAUUUCAUAAUCAAUUGAAACAAAGAAGACAAAUUGUAAUUUGAAUUAUUAAAAUUUCAUUGGUUGUUUUCCAAGAUCCCAAAAACGGAUGUGGCUGUAGUUUUUCAUUACGUAAGGUUUUUACGGAUCUACUUGAAAUACCAAAAAGGGCAUAUAUUUAUUUUUAUUUCAGACCGAACUCCGGAUUCAACAGUAUGAAGAUAUCAUGUGUUUGUACAUGCCUAAUUGUAUUAUGUAAGUUCUUUCUUUAAUAUGAUUUUGUGUUACAAUCACUUGUUUUGCAAAAACAUACAGACAAAACAUUAAAUGCAAUGCGCAUACGUUUACAUUCAAAUUUUGAAAGAACGAGUAAAAGCUAGGUUUACAGCAUACGACUGGGUGAGUUUAACAUUUAUUCCACACGAUCGAAGUAUUGAUCAAAACUAUGCCACUAAAUAGUUAUAUAUUACCGAUACAUCAAGUUAAUGCAAUAAAGCAUUGUACACAAACACGAACGGUUAAAAUCAAAUAUAUAUUUUGUACGCAAUAAUUCUUCAUUUUAAUGAUUUUAGGUUUGAUGGGAGGGCUAGUAGCCUCUCCCACGUCCAUAAACUCCACCUCGUACAUUGCGCAAUUAGACAGCAAUGGAACGAUGGAGACGCUAUCAGCCAGCACGGGAAUAACAGAGACGCUAACUUCGAGCUCGGGAUUUAAUGAGACGCGGUCUACGAGGACGAGAUCGGAACCAAAGCUAUCUACGAGCGAGGGGGUUCAUGAGACGCUAUUUACGAGAUAUGCAGGAAUGUCGGAGAAACGUUCAAGUUCUACAAUGGGACGGUGAAUGUGACCAUAACGGGGAGCCCGUGUCAGAAUUGGAUUUGGGUAUGAUAUAUUUUAUUAAUGAAUCUAAAGGUGAAAAUGAGCUGUAUUUCGUUUUUUGAUUGUUUUAAUUUCGGCAAUGCACAACCCAUUCAUAACAUCUUUACUCGCGAAUGUGACCUCGAUUUCAGAAUGUUCCACACGCACAUGAAUACCAUGGUGACGCGAAUUUUCCCGGCGGCAAACUUUUGUCGGGACCCAAGCGACAGUGGCUACCUGUGGUGUUAUACGCUUGGCGGUAAAUGCACGGAUGCGAAACAGUGGCUCCAGCUCUUUUAGGAGCUGUGUAUAAAAAGGAGCCAAUGACACUUCCGAGCUAGAACAAAAGAACGGAUAUCAUCGUAAAACGUAAGUAUGACUCGUUAUUUUUAUCUAAUAUCACAAUUAUGAGGGCUUAUUUGAGAAAUCGGGGAAUGCAGUGCCAUAUAAAUAUGUUUAAUCUUCACACGUAUUUGGGUUAUUUUGUAAACAUAUUGUUUAUGGAGUUAUUAAACCGAUUCUCCCAUCAAACACAUCAAUGUUUACAAACGAAAGUAGAACAUUUUCACCAAUUUUCAGCUGAAUU